CACACAGAUACUUGGAGGGUGUUUGGUCUGGUCAGCCCUGCCUCAGCGCUGUUGAUGUGCUGUGCCCCAUUGACUUCGGGUGAGCGCCCAUCUGCUUCUCUCCACCUAGCCACAUCUCCUCUAUCCUUUAAGAUCUAGCAAAGCUUUGCCAGAUGAGGUCUCAUUCUGUCACCAAACUGGAGUGAAGUAGUGGGAUCUUCACUGCAAUUGCAGGCUCAAGCAAUCCUCUCACCUUAGCCUCCUGAGUAGCUGGGACCACGGGCACAUGUCACCAUGCCAAGCUACUUUUUGUAGUUUUUGGGAAGAGACAGGGCUUCACCAUGUUGUCCAGGCUGGUCCUGAACUCUUGAGGUCAAGUGAUCCUUUCACCUGGGGCUCCCAAAGUGCUGGGAUUAGAGAAAAACUGCUGGCACUAACAGAGUUGGUUCACGAGCAUAUUUGUCAAAAACAGCCUCUCAAAUCAAGAUCUUGCUCUCUGGACAUGGAUGAAUCUGGAGAACAUCAUUCUCAGCAAACUGACACAAGAACAGAAAAUGAAAUACCGCAUAUUCUCAUUCAUAGAUAUAACCAAUGCCCUGAAGUUAGUUUGUUUUAUUACUGUUCAUAAUUUUUUUUGAGACAGAGUCUCGUCCUGUUGCCAGGCUGGAGUGCAGUGGCGCCAUCGCAACUCACUGCAACCUCCGCCUCCUGGGUUCAAGUGAUUCUCCUGCUUCAGCCUCCCAAGAAGCUGGGACUACAGGCACACUCCACCAUGCCCAGCCAAUUUUUGUAUUUUUAGUAGAGAUGGGGUUUCACCAUGUUGGUCAGUAUGGUGUCGAUCUCCUGACCUCAUGAUCCACCUGCCUCACCCUUACUGUUUAUAAUUUUAUAUUUUAUGAUAUAUGUAUCUGUAAACAAUAUAGUUUUGUGGAUUAAAAGAUAUAU
rnacentral:lncRNA from 13 species